GAUGAACGCUGACAGAAUGCUUAACACAUGCAAGUCUUUGGCGAAGCUGUGCUUGCACAGCUUAGCCAAGGCGGACGGGUGAGUAACGCGUAAGGAACUUGCCCUGCAGUCAGGGAUAACAGACGGAAACGACUGAUAAGACCUGGUAAAGUCAGGCGGACUCAUGUCCAGCCUGAUGAAAAGAGAUGCUGCAGGAGAGCCUUGCGUCCUAUUAGCUUGUUGGUGGGGUAACGGCCCACCAAGGCGAUGAUAGGUAGCCGGCCUGAGAGGGUGGACGGCCACAAGGGGACUGAGAUACGGCCCUUACUCCUACGGGAGGCAGCAGUGGGGAAUAUUGGACAAUGGGGGCAACCCUGAUCCAGCAAUUCUGUGUGCACGAUGAAGGUUUUCGGAUUGUAAAGUGCUUUCAGCAGGGAAGAAAAAAAUGACGGUACCUGCAGAAGAAGCGACGGCUAAAUACGUG
rnacentral:rRNA from 1 species